UACGUAGGGUGCGAGCGUUUGUCCGGAAUUACUGGGCGUAAAGAGCUCGUAGGCGGUUUGUCGCGUCGUCCGUGAAAACUUGGGGCUCAACCCCAAGCUUGCGGGCGAUACGGGCAGACUUGAGUACUGCAGGGGAGACUGGAAUUCCUGGUGUAGCGGUGAAAUGCGCAGAUAUCAGGAGGAACACCGGUGGCGAAGGCGGGUCUCUGGGCAGUAACUGACGCUGAGGAGCGAAAGCGUGGGAGCAAACAGG
rnacentral:rRNA from 1 species